GUCAUGGCUGCCUAAAAUGCAUCCAAACAUUCAGUAUCUCCUCCCUCUGCAUGCAGACACUGAACUUUCCUCAUUGAGAUUCAUUGAUUGAAUUCAUCUCGAUGAGGAGAUGCUGAUUGGCCAGGGCUGAUCUGCCUCUUUGUCAGUCUCAGACAAUCCUAUGGGGAAGCAUUGUGAUUGGAUCAGGCUACAACUUCUGCUGAUGUCAGCAGGUAGUGGGCAGGUCUAAAUGAAACAGAGCCAGAGCUAGCAGCUCCAGACUUGAAUACAAGUAAGAUGUUUCUAUUUUUAGGGAUGCAUGAGGGGACCAUGGGGGCUAGAUGGUGGCUUUAACCCUAUAGGGUCAGGAAUACAUGUUUGUGUUCCUGACCCUAUAGUGCUCCUUUAAGAAACAACUGCAGUGACUUGUACUUGUGAGAACAUGCCUAUUACUACAGCAAGACAGAACAACUUCUAUAGCUCUAGGCUGCUUGACUUCACACUGAUACUGCGAAUGGAUCUUCGUAAACAGCUACUAGUAUCACCUCCUUUCUUUGUUGUUAUUUACAGCCAGUCGUUUGCUACGUGCCAUGAGGCACCUCAGGAAUAAAAAUCUUAACCACAAAGGUACAUAAAGAUUUCAAGCAGUUUUUCUGUGUUUUAAUACACUAGAAUGGGUAAUGCAUGGUCUUACAAAUUAUAAUAAUCAUGUAAUGUAUGGACUUACGACUUACAAAGUAUA